rnacentral:rRNA from 1 species
CCUACGGGCGGCAGCAGUGGGGGAUAUUGCACAAUGGGGGGAACCCUGAUGCAGCGACGCCGCGUGGGUGAAGAAGCGCCUCGGCGCGUAAAGCCCUGUCAGCAGGGAAGAAAAUGACGGUACCUGAAGAAGAAGCCCCGGCUAACUACGUGCCAGCAGCCUCGGUAAUACGUAGGGGGCAAGCGUUAUCCGGAUUUACUGGGUGUAAAGGGGGCGCAGACGGCGAUGCAAGCCAGGAGUGAAAGCCCGGGGACCAAACCCGGGACUGCUCUUGGAACUGCGUGGCUGGAGUGCAGGAGGGGCAGGCGAAAUUCCUGGUGUAGCGGUGAAAUGAGUAGAUAUCAGGAGGAACACCGGUGGCGAAGGCGGCCUGCUGGACUGCAACUGACGUUGAGGCCCGAAAGCGUGGGGAGCAAACAGGAUUAGAUACCCGUGUAGUC